rnacentral:rRNA from 1 species
AUGCCACCGGCGCUGCCGGUUUCGAGUCCGGUGGCCACGAAGACGCGGACGCUGGCCGAGCUCAAUCCCGUUCCCAUCACGAAGUCAGCCGCCACGGUGGCGGUGACCAGUCCAGUGGCCGCUACGCCACCGGCGCCCAGUUCAGAGGCAACGAGGGUGCUCGCGGCACAGAGUCCAGUGGCCACGAAGACGCCGACACCCAGUCCAGUGGCCACUGCGAAGACGGUUGCCGUGGUGAAGCGGGAUGAAGAAGGCGCGGAACACGACGGUGGGGCAAUGGUGGCGGAGGAGGAGCCUGCCAACUUGGACUUGCCGAAGAAAUUGUUUCACUGCGCCGCAUGUCGUGCCCCCCUCAAGCCACCAGUGUUCAAGUGCGAGAGGGAGCAUUUCGUGUGCUGCGACUGCGGUGGCGACGACGACCACGAUGACGGCGACGGCGGAGCGACCAAGCACUGCGGUCCAUGCGGGCAUGACGUCUCCUACACCCACUCCGGCUUCAUGGACGGCGUGGUCGGCGCCUACAAGGUGCCGUGCCCGUACAAGAAGCACGGCUGCGCGAGCUCCAUCGUGUACCACGCGGCGGCGGACCACAAGUCCAAGUGCGCGCACGCGCCCUGCUAUUGCUUCGAGUGCGUGCCCCCGUUCGAGGGCUCGCCGGCGGACCUCCUGCGCCACCUCACGGCAACGUCCGGGAAACACUCCUGGCUCGAGGACAAGAUCAAAUAG